UCUGUAAACCUAUCAGAAGGUAGAUAUAGUACCUCAGCAUUCUUAGAAGUCUUUAUUGUUUAUAUUUGUGUGUUUUUUUGGAGUUUUUAUCCUUUUUUUCCUUUUCAAGAGGUUCCGGGGUGUUGCAUCCUGAUGAUUUGGAUGAUAUCAUCUUUCUAGUUGACAGGUUAAGGAUAAUCACAAAUGAUAACCAUCAUCCACAGUAGGCAUGCCAUUUUCUAAACCACAUUCAUGCCAUUCUUGCAUCACAUAAACACUUUAUGUUACUACAUGGGCAAUACUUGCUUGAUUUAAUACUAAAACAAAACAUCUACAUAAUUGUACAUGGCUACCUUUUCUUAUAAUUGGAUCAUAUCCUUUUGGUCCUUAAUUUUACAUAUUCAUGAGUAAGAUGAUUGGAGGAAAUAAAAAGAGAAAGAAAAUUUAGAGAGAGUUUAGGGAAAGUAAGAUAAAAGAAGAAUGGAGAAGAGGAGGAAGGAGAAGAAGAUAGGAAGAUAGAAAGGAACAGAUAAAAGUAAACAUUAUCAAGGGGCAUUCCCAUGCUAUUAUCUUUCUUAGAACAUUGUCUCUUAGGCAGUUAUGAUCAAUACACCCCUAGAUGGGGACUAACCAGUCAAGGAGUUUGAGAACAAGAUAAAAGUUAAAAUGAUAAAGGAGAGAGGAAUAAUUUUCAAUUAUGAUCCCAAGCUGUGCUGUCUGUUAUAUUUCUUCAAAGAUCCAUCUCUUAGGUGGUUAAGGAGUUUUUAUUUUGAUUAGGGCUCAACAUAUAAUCCCCAAGUACAUUUGGUGAUGGCCAACUGUAGAAUGAUAUGCUUAUAGUCCUUUUCCAUCCCAAUUCUAACUUAAUAUACAACCUUCCAUUUUCUACUCCUUUUGUAGUGAUGGAGCUUAUACAUCCAUAAUGCCUAGGUUGGAGUAAGUAUACAAAGGCCGAGGACACCUGAGACUUUACGAGGAAAUUUACUAGCUAGUUCCUUGGCCUUACAUAAGAGUGACUAAUUAUUUAUCAUUUUCUUAAGUGAUCACUAACUUCUAUAUGUUCUACGGGCUCAUGCAAAAUAGCUUUUUUGCAUUAUGUAUUGUAGCUUGGUUUUAGAGUACAUCUUUGUGAAACUUCAUGGAAACUCUUGUUUCUUAUAUCAAAUUUUUUAGCCCUAAGUCCAUGUCCUAUGCAAGUCAGCUAAGCAUUUUGUUUGUGCACCAAACAUGGCAACUAGACUUUUUCUUUUCUUGGUUUUCUAUGUUACUAGGUCCCUACAAAUGUAUGGUACUAGUAGUAGGCCUCUUAUCAAAAGGAGAUAGAAACAAAUCUAUAUCUGCAAAUCUUUGCAUAACUUGUGUAGCUAAAACAUUAUUCCUUUUUCUGGAGGUCCCUGGAUAGGUUAUGAAUGCAAAUUUUCAGGAGAAUGCACAAACUCACUCACCAAGUUGAUAGCAAAGUUCCUGCCCCUCAUGGUGAUAAUAAAUAAAUUAGUUAGUCCUUUAACCUGUUAUAUACUUUUGGAUCAUCCUAUCGGCCUCCAUGAUGAACUACAUGUUUCUUACUUGGAUCCAUAGAUGCAUCUAAUUGAUAUGCACCUACCGUUUCUUGUUCUUGUCUAAAAUAAGUCACAUACUCUCAUGUAAAAUUAGCGAUGUCAUUGCCCAAGGAAUAUUUAGGGGGGCUUGAAUAUGUGAUAUAGAGAUGUCUAUUAUAGAAGUUUUAAUAAAACUACUUCUAAAUGUUGGUUAUUGCAAUAUUAAUAGUUACAACUCAUCUAGGUGAAAUAACUUAAUAGUAUUUCCAUUAAUAUUGGAAUUAAUAAGGGAUAUAGAAUGGUGCUUCAGCCCUGGAGGAAGGGUGGAGAGAACUUUAGGGUCUCAGCAAUGGUAGUCAAGUCAUAAAAUUGCACCUAUGACCUCCCAUCUGCACCUGUGAUCUCCCCCAAUCAGCGAGGAAAGGAAGAAGGGGGCACUGGGAUGUGGCAGCAGGCGAGAGCCCAGAGAGAGAGAGAGAGAGAGAGAGAGAGGGUGAUGGGAAUUGUGCAUGCGGUCCACUCAAGGCUAAACAUGUUGUUUCCAUGAAAAUGGCUAGUUCUAAUAGCAUUCAAAGAGAUAGUUAAGUGGAAGGGCAUUUGCAUAAAAAAAAGGGAAAAUUACACUCACACCCCCUCGACUUUAACCCUUUUGCACAUGCACCCUCUCAACUAUAAAAAAUUUCCAUUAACCAUCUUAAUGCUCAAAUUUUUGUCAAUGUAUCCAUUCCAUUUGUUUUGUCUGUGACACUAUUAAAUGGCUCCGCAAACCGAUGGAAUUGCCCUCAGGAAUAGAAUUGUAAGGGCUGGUAGAGGGCAAAAUCCCUAACUCGAAGGUCCUUUGAAACCCCUUGUGUAACCAUUCCCAAACUACUCGUCAGCCAUCUCCAGUACCGCCACCUCUAGAUCCAAACCCACCCCUUCCAGUACCUCAGCACAGGUACUUCUUCCUCUACCCCUCUCCGCCCUCACUGUAAUCAAGUACAACCAUCAAAGAAUCAGUAAAAAGAACAAAAAUGGAACUUUCAUCAUAGAGGAAAAAAAUCCUUACUGUGCACAAUCAAUGACAAGAACAAAAGAUGGGAUUUUUGGUGUUGAGGAUGAAAAAAAACCCUAAUCAUGUAGUCUAUAACAAAGAACAAAAGAAGAGAUUUCUGUAUCAAAGAUAAAAAGCAUUACCACAUUAUCAAUAUAAAGAACAGGAGAACAUAUCAAUACAAAGAAUAGAAGAAGGUAUCUUGAUAAAAACUUUUGCAGCACAAAACAUAAUGAGAACAAAAUAAGUUUAGCACCAAGGAUGAAAAACCCUUAUCCCACAAUCUAUAAAAAGAACAAAAGAGGAG